rnacentral:lncRNA from 1 species
GUUAACAAGAAAUAAACAGGUUGACUUAAGAAAAAAUCCUUGAAGUGUUGGAGUAACUUCCUCAGGUUGUGGAUGUUAGAAAACAGCAAGGAUCAGGUCAUGGAGGUCUUUGAAGGUCAGUAAUCAAACAAAACAAAAACAGCCUUCAGGAUUUUAGUAGCCUUGUAAAUCCUAUCGGUCGGAUGUUUUUCUGUGAUUUGAAUCCCUUCUCCAUC